UACGUAGGGACCAAGCGUUGUUCGGAUUUACUGGGCGUAAAGGGCGCGUAGGCGGCUUAACAAGUCAGUUGUGAAAUCUCCGGGCUUAACUCGGAACGGCCAAGUGAAACUGUCAAGCUAGAGUGCAGAAGGGGCAAUCGGAAUUCUUGGUGUAGCGGUGAAAUGCGUAGAUAUCAAGAGGAACACCUGAGGUGAAGACGGGUUGCUGGGCUGACACUGACGCUGAGGCGCGAAAGCCAGGGGAGCAAACGGG
rnacentral:rRNA from 1 species